GACAGAGGAUGCAAGCGUUAUCCGGAAUGAUUGGGCGUAAAGCGUCUGUAGGUGGCUGUGUAAGUCUGCUGUCAAAGAGCAAAGCUCAACUUUGUAAAGGCAGUGGAAACUACACGGCUAGAGUGCGUUCGGGGCAGAGGGAAUUCCUGGUGUAGCGGUGAAAUGCGUAGAGAUCAGGAAGAACACCGGUGGCGAAGGCGCUCUGCUAGGCCGCAACUGACACUGAGGGACGAAAGCUAGGGGAGCGAAUGGG
rnacentral:rRNA from 1 species